rnacentral:rRNA from 1 species
UACGGAAUCUCUAUGAAAGUGAGGGUGCUUCGGGAGCCGUAAGACAGGUGCUGCAUGGCUGUCGUCAGCUCGUGUCGUGAGAUGUUCGGUUAAGUCCGCUAACGAGCGCAGCCCUCACUGUGUGUUAUACGUGUCACACGGGACUGCCGGUUUUAAGCCGGAGGAAGGCGAGGAUGAAGUCAAGUCAGCAUGGCCUUUAUAUCUUGGGCUACACACACGCUACAAUGGUCUGUACAACAGGUUGCCAAGCCGCGAGGCGGAGCCAAUCCUAAAAGCAGGCCUCAGUUCAGAUUGUAGGCUGCAACCCGCCUGCAUGAAGAUGGAGUUGCUAGUAACCGCAGGUCAGCUAUACUGCGGUGAAUACGUUCCCGGGGCUU